rnacentral:rRNA from 1 species
GUGUCAGCCGCCGCGGUAAGACGAACCACACGAACGUUAUUCGGAAUUACUGGGCUUAAAGGGUGCGUAGGCUGUGCGGAAAGUUAGGUGUGAAAUCCCCCGGCUCAACCGGGGAAUUGCGCUUAAAACUACCGUGCUAGAGGAAUACAGAGGUGAGCGGAACUUCGGGUGGAGCGGUGAAAUGCGUUGAUAUCCGAAGGAACACCGGUGGCGAAAGCGGCUCACUGGGUAUUUUCUGACGCUGAUGCACGAAAGCUAGGGGAGCAAACGGGAUUAGAAACCCUAGUAGUCC